rnacentral:rRNA from 1 species
CCUGUGAGGGUUGCUGGAGGUAUCAGAAGUGCGAAUGCUGACAUAAGUAACGAUAAAGCGGGUGAAAAGCCCGCUCGCCGGAAGACCAAGGGUUCCUGUCCAACGUUAAUCGGGGCAGGGUGAGUCGACCCCUAAGGCGAGGCCGAAAGGCGUAGUCGAUGGGAAACAGGUUAAUAUUCCUGUACUUGGUGUUACUGCGAAGGGGGGACGGAGAAGGCUAUGUUAGCCGGGCGACGGUUGUCCCGGUUUAAGCAUGUAGGCUG